AGGUUGUUCGACGUAACGCGUGCAUCGACUCGUCCUCCGCGGAUCUUUCUAAACGCUGGCGCCUUGGUUCGAAGCAAAUUUUCGGUCGGUGUCGCCCGUUUGAGCCGACGGGGAACCGAGAAGGACAAGAAGAGUAGCGGACUUGGAUCGAGAGCUCUGCGACAGAGGCCGGCCCGAGAGAGAUGCAGGACGGGCAGUUCCGGCCUUUUACAUCUUCUCCAUCGAGCUCUAUAGAGCUGAACUCGUUACCUACCCUGUCAUAAUUACUCGACUUAAUAUGAACGAAGAUGCUAUGUAAAAUUGGAUAGCAUUAAAUCUCUGAACUAUAUCUUUGUUCAUUAUUUUAUAACAAUAUUUUACAAACUCCAGCGCGUUCCUUCUUGAUAAUAAAAAAGGAACAGUACGAGGGAAAUGAAAAGAAAGACGGUUUAUAAAAAUAGGGGAAUAAAAUGUAGCGAAGAGAAUAAAUGUCGAAUGGAUGGUCUAAGUAAUGUCUGUAAGAUCGCGCAACGUUUCAUCGGAAAUGAGAGAUUACGCAGUUAGAAAAUACAUAUAAGCGAUUGAUCGAUAACCUAUUUUUUCUUGUAGCUGGCGGAGUGCCAGAAUUUCAAGUAAAUGCGCUGAGCCCGAUGGAAAUGCAAAUGGCGUAACCUCGUCCUGGGUUGAGAGUCGAGAGUUUUAUAUCUUUAUAAUUACCGGAGGAAACGAACCGCUCGACGAGCGACGACGAUAAAGAAACGAAACGUUCUUUUCUCAAUUGUAUUGUAGAAAUACGUCUGUACAAAAGAAAGACUAUUCAUGAA